UCUCUCUCUCUCUCUCUUGGCAUCAUGGAGGUGGUACCUCCACCGCUGUUUUGAUCUCGGAGGUGGCUCCUGCGUCCAGUGGGCUGUGAAAGGCAUUUCCCCUCUCUCU